AGCGAACGCUGGCGGCAGGCUUAACACAUGCAAGUCGAACGGGCGUAGCAAUACGUCAGUGGCAGACGGGUGAGUAACGCGUGGGAACGUACCUUUUGGUUCGGAACAACACAGGGAAACUUGUGCUAAUACCGGAUAAGCCCUACGGGGGAAAGAUUUAUUGCCAUUGGAGCGGCCCGCGUCUGAUUAGCUAGUUGGUGAGGUAAUGGCUCACCAAGGCGACGAUCAGUAGCUGGUCUGAGAGGAUGACCAGCCACACUGGGACUGAGACACGGCCCAGACUCCUACGGGAGGCUG
rnacentral:rRNA from 1 species